UGAAUCUCUAAACACCUUCAUGUCAUCCUCAAUCAUCCUUCCAACAUGUCUGCUUCUAUAUGAAAGGAAGUCCAGCAUUGGCUUAUGUUUACUUUACCGUACUUCUACAGGUAAUGUUCUUCCUGGGCUCAUUCUGUUGCUCAUUCUCUCCAAAAAUCUCAUCUUAUGGGGUCAGAAAGGGGCUUUGAAAACCAGAACACCUACUAUUCUAGACAGCUGGGAACCUUGCCCAACGUAAAAGAACAAAGGAGACGCUACCUUUGUACCCUACACUUGGUGACUCUGUCAGGAAAGCUUGCGUUUCUUUUCAUGCAGCCUGAGACUUCCCUCUUGCUCUGUUUUCAGAUAAACUACAGCUGCUUACAGCCUUCCGCUAUUCCCCAGUACUAAUUAAUGAGUGGAGGAAUGAACUGGACCCAUUCCAACUGCCUUUACUUUUUUGUAAAGAACUCAGUCCUGUUUAAAUCACGUUAAUGAAGACAGUGAAUAACUCCAAGAGUCUCUGAAGACAUAAGAAACUUCACCAUGAAACCACCCACUCUCUUCCUUUUUCUUUUCAACCUACAUUAGUUUAAAAAAAAAAAAAAACUAAACUAAACUAAAAACCCAUCUCCAGACAGCUGGUGAUCCUGUGGUGAUGGAGUUUCAAUUGUGAGUAUUGUUCAUGGCUCUUGUCAGCAGUGUGAGCCUGGGAGAGUGGAACCUAAAAAUGAGACAGACUAAAGUCCCGAGCAAUUGUCAGCUUCAUUCAGAACAUCAGAAAAUUUAUACU
rnacentral:lncRNA from 1 species